rnacentral:tRNA from 1 species
GCGGGAUUAGUUUAGUGGCAUGACGGUUGCUUCCCAAGCAACAAACACGAGUUCGAUUCUCGUAUCCCGCACCA